rnacentral:rRNA from 1 species
AGAGUUUGAUCAUGGCUCAGAACGAACGCUGGCGGCGUGCUUAACACAUGCAAGUCGAGUGCGCGGUGCGGGUAGCAAUACUCGUACUGGCGCACGGCGCACGGGUGCGUAACACGUGGGCAAUCUGCCCUCCGAUGGGGAAUAACUCCGGGAAACCGAAGCUAAUUCCGCAUAACAUUCCCUGGACUCCGGUUCGGGGAUUCAAAGCCGCAAGGCGUCGGAGGAGGAGCCCGCGCCCGAUUAGCUAGUUGGUGAGGUGAUGGCUCACCAAGGCAAUGAUCGGUAGCUGGUCUGAGAGGAUGGCCAGCCACACUGGAACUGAGACACGGUCCAGACUCCUACGGGAGGCAGCAGUGGGGAAUCUUGCGCAAUGGGCGAAAGCCUGACGCAGCGACGCCGCGUGGGGGAUGAAGCUUCUCGGAGUGUAAACCCCUUUCGACUGGGACGAAUGCCUCGCAAGAGGAGUGACGGUACCAGUAGAAGAAGCCCCGGCUAACUACGUGCCAGCAGCCGCGGUAAGACGUAGGGGGCCAGCGUUGUUCGGAAUUACUGGGUGUAAAGGGUUCGUAGGCGGUGUGGCAAGUCGGGAGUGAAAUCUAUGGGCUUAACUCAUAGUCUGCUUCCGAAACUGCUGUGCUGGAGUGUGGGAGAGGCGCGUGGAAUUGCAGGUGUAGCGGUGAAAUGCGUAGAUAUCUGCAGGAACACCCGUGGCGAAAGCGGCGCGCUGGACCACUACUGACGCUGAGGAACGAAAGCUAGGGGAGCAAACAGGAUUAGAUACCCUAGUAGUCC